GCCAUGAAAUGGCCUGUGCUCUGCUCUGGGAAGACCACAAGAGACAAUCAAUAGCUCAGGCUCUACUUUCUCAUUUAACAGUGGCCUUUUGUUCUAAAAGACUAACAAGGCAUGUUCUUAGCUCAGGGAGUCAGAAAAAACAACUUAAUUUCUGGCAUUGAACUUCUCUGAUCCAAAAGAGAUGAUGUAUUUUUGCUUCACUGUUCCUUCACCCGCAAAAUAGGGGCAGCGUCACAGGAGCAUAAGGCCCUUGAAAUGUUUAUGUCAUAAUGAUGCAAAGGUGUUUUUUAUAUUUAGAAGUACCUCCUCUUCUUCUACGGAUGGAUGAAAUUCAAGACUCUUCAGACAUGCAUUUGCAGUGCUGCAAAUGGAGGAGAGACUCUUUCCCCGAUGGAAUCUUUGGAAGAUGUCUUUGGCUGGUGCCUCCUGGGAAGGUGUUAACGUCUCUCUGUGAAACAUUGGCAGUGUGGGACCUUUCAGAAGACCAUCAUCUGCGCAGGAACCUCAUUCACUAGCUGUUGGGCCUGGUUCUCUGGUGUCUUACAUCAGGGAGAUGUCUAACUGCCUCACAGAGAAGUCAUUGCUCCUGCCGUUAAUGAAAAAGGAUUCAUGAUCAUUUCCAGACCAGGAGGAGGAAGAUGGCCAGCUACUGUGAGUGCAGGACACCUCCAGCUGUUGCACCUCUGAAGCCAGGGAGUUUUUUUCAUUUUCUUUAUUUAUACACCCUACCACCCUGCUCUCCUGCACAGAUGAAAAAGGAAAGUGUUGCAUUUGGGGUGGGGUGGGGAGGGGGGAUACCCCCAAUCCUCACCUCAGGAAUCAAAUUGCAGAUGCUCAGCAUGGCAAAGUGCUGGUGGUGUGAGGAGUGGAAAACAAGGGGAGAGAUUCUCCUCCAGCUUCCUCACGUUCUGUCCCUCCUUCUCCUCACGCCCCGUCCUCUCUCUGUGUCUCAUGUCCUCACCGCAGCAUGGUUUGUCUGAAGGAAGCUGAGUCAGCGAGGCACUGAAAUUGGGGUUUUAUCUCCCAUCAAGGCUGCCUGAAAGAGGAUGCUGCUUGACUAGUGGUCCUGCAGGAAACUUUCUUUGUGGCAGCUGCUGGUUUUAAUGAAGCAAGUCGGUACAUUGCUUUGAUGGCAUCUGCUUCUUUUUUGCUCGGUGUGCAAAAGCUCAACCCUGAGUAGCAGACAUCCUCUGGAUACAGGCAAGCAUAAAUUAAGGUCUCUGCCUAAUCACAGACUAUGAACCUCAGCAUUCUUCUGGUAUUUUUUUUCAGUUUAUAAUUGAUAGUAUAGCGGUGGUGUGCUGCUUCUGAGACAGCCCAGCUUGCAAAAACACAUUUCUCCAUAUUCCUUCCCUUUCCACCAACUGUGCCUUCAGGGAGACUCUCUGGGAGGCUGCUGGGGCACUGAGGCCAUGUCAGGCCUGGGGGUGAACACAGAGGCUGAGCCAACCGCGAUUUCUGAACUGGGAUCUGCAGCCCUCCUUGAGAACCGAGAGACAGUGGAGUCUGACAGGUAGUGUUUGUGCCCAUGUGACCCAAGGGAAUCAGCUGGGGCAGGGACAUAUACAGCAUCAUUUGCACGAGGGACUAAAGCUACAAAGCUUGUGAAAAAAUUAAAGUCUCAGUUCUGCUUUUUAUCAGAAGGUUUCUCACAAGAUGAAUCUGAUGUGUAGACAGAGUAGUGAGCUGAUAUAUAGCUGGGCAUGAGGCACAGCAGAUGUGUCCAUGACACACCACUGAAAUCAAACACAGUCCUCACUGUGUAUCUCUCACUUUUGCUUCCAUGUCCAUGCUUUACUCCAUGGACUGUAACUCAUCAUUUAGUUUCCUAGUGCCUGUUUCUUUCCUUUCUUAUUUUUUUUAGACUGACUCUGUCUUCUCUGUGGACUUUCUUUCUGUUCUUGUACUUCUUCUGAGCCUUUCAGUUCUAAACAAUCUUUCACUCUCUUUCCAUCUUCCCUUUCUCUCCCUCUAUUCCCCCUCCACUUUAUCUCAUCUGACUACUCCCAUCAAGAUAUUUUUUUAAAGUAAGUUUAAAAUUAACUGGUUCAAAAAUCUCUUCCCUCCUAGACCUCCUUGACCCCAUCAUUGUGUUUGACCCACCCUGGAAGACAGGCCAUCUGCGAGUGCCCCAGUUGCCUGCUCUCUUGUCUCUUGUAACCGUCCUCAUAUGAGAAAUGCACUCUCAUCACUUACUCCAGUCAAUGUUCUUCACAACUGGUCAGUCUCUGCCCCCUUCCCUGAUAAACCAGUCGAACCCUUUUUGAUGGUUCUUGGUCCACACCUGCAGUUUCAGUGGGAACAUAUAUGCCCUUCUGUCUCUUGUAAUUACUGGAUACAUGUAGUCUUUGUUCUGCCACCCUCACGUAUGUCUCAUGAGCAGCAAUUAUACCAUUGUUUUAAAAUCCCCAGUCAGUUUGUGAGGUGCAGCUUCAGACAUGCCAUGUCUUAAACAUCAGCUUCACCACAAGUAUGUAGUGCAAGACAGAGGCGGUAACCCAGCUGCUCUGUAUCGGCUAUGCAUACUCAUUCCUCCAUGCAGUCACCAUUGCCUUGUUUCCACCUUGUCCCAACCUCCUCCUGGCCUUCUCAGAGCUCCAAUAGGCUCUCAGCUGUUCCCAUUUUUGGUUUCACUGUCCCCAUAAGCCCACAAGAACCACAGAGUUGCAGGGUUCAAAGGCAGACUGGUCUCGGGGGCAGGAGAGGAGCAAGGCAGAGGCACUAGACUUUUCUGAAUCCACUGACAUUUGUCAAGUGACUUGCAAUGUAUUUCCUUCCAAGUACUUGUCCAGUCUCCUCUUGAACUGAUGAAAAUGAUUUUUGUCCUUUGUGUUCUUCUGCAAGGAGUUCCACAGCUCUGCAGCACUGCAGUUGUGUCUUCCUAAUACCAAAGCCUUGCUCCUCAAUAGGAAAUUAUCAGCUCCAGGACCAAAAUCUGAUGUGUGAAACUAGGACUGGUUUUCAUGGUGUUCUAUUGCUUUAUCUUUAGCUAUGCUAAAUUUCACCUGACAUUUCAUACAGUCUCAUAAGAUGCUUCCGCAAUUUGUCACAACCUGCCCUUAUUACUUUAAAGAACUUUGUAUCAUAUGUGACCUUUGUCUCUCACUGCUCAUGCCCUUUUCCAUGUUAUUUAUGGGUAUUUUUAACAGAACAGACCUCAGUGCAGAUCCCUGAAAUUUCCACAGGUAACUUCCUUCUAUUGAGUGCAAUCACUAUUCCUUUUGUGUUCUGUUUCUUACCUUUCAGCUGUUUCUCUGUGCCAGGACUUCCUCCUCCCCCUGCCUCCUUAGUUUCCCUAAAAGUCUGUGGGGAGAGACUUUACUAGAUUAACUUUCAUCAACAUGUUUGUUAGUCCUUUCAAGAACUAUGAGAGAUUGGAGAGGCAGGAUUUCCAGAAGCCAUGUUGACUUUUACCGAGUACAUUAUAUCUAUUCAGAUCAUACUUCUUUAAGGUGUCCACUAGUUUGAUCUUUUAUUAUAAAUUUUAUUAUUUUGGCUGGUACAGACCUCACGCUCUCAGAUCUCUAGAUCCUCAGAUCCUCCUAGUACCUUUCUUAACCUUGGUGGCACAUUUGCUUCCUGACCAAGGAAGUGUUCAGUGAGAUGGACACUAUCUCAGUAAUUGUAUCUGGCCAUCCUUAGGUUGUCUUGAAUCUCUUGCCAUCUGCUCCUGUCAGUCUGGUGACCACCCAUUCCAUUGAUUUGUGCCAUGACUUCUUCAAUGCAAUCCCCCAAGAUUUUGGAGACAUUCUGGCCAAGUCCUCUCUCAAGAAGGUUCCCAUGUGGCAAUCUCCCAGUUUCUGCUACAAGAGAAGGAGGAGGGUAGGCACUGAACUCUACUCUUUAGUGACCAAUGACAGAACCUGAGGGAAUGGCAGGAAGAUGUGCCAGGGGAGGUUUAGGCUGGACGUUAGGAAAAGGUUCUUCACCCAGAGAGUAGUGGAGCACUGGAACGGGCUCCCCAUGGAGGUGUCACGGCUCCAAGCCCAACAGUGUACAAGAAGAGACUGGACAAAGCCCUCACCCAAACACACGGUGUGAACUGUGGGGUUUGUCCUAUGCAGGGACAGGAGUUGGACUCGAUGAUCCUUGUGGGUCCCUUCCAACUUAGGACAUUCUAUGAUUCUAAUGCACCUUGUUUCUCUGCAGUGGUCUUGUCCUCCCUGAGCACUGCUUUUAGACCCUGGACUUCAGCUGGCUCCACAGACUUCUGCAAAACUUUUUGAUCCUGAUGCACUGAAGCAGAGUUUAGAAGCAGCUUUAAUUCCUUUUAUGCUGUUGCCCCUUAAACUGUUUUGUUGUCUAAGUAUAUUUUUACAUUUAAUCCACUGGAGUCUAUUAUCACCAUUUGAAUAAGCUUCUUGAAUGACAGGGCACUGUUACUUAAGUAAGGAUGCUGGAUCUAAGUGUGUGAUGGUGAAAACACGGAGGGCUGUUUCCAUUUCAAGAUCUUGAACAGACUUUGUGCAUCGCUCUGUCCUGAGGACAGGGCUAGAUGUCCUCUGUGGAGUCACUAACCUGCUAUUGCCCAAAAACUAACCUGUGCUUCUUGUCUACAUGUGGGAAACAGCCAGUGCACAUGAGAGUGACUGAAUUUAUUCAGUACAAUCACUCUCCUGCUCUUGCUUCAUCUCUGAUUUCUCUCAACAUACUGCAGUCAGUGCUACCGUCCCUGUAAGACAAACAGUAAUACAGACUGAAUGCCACAUGAUCCCUUUUUAGGCUUGGAAAAUACAGGUUUAAUUGUGCUUAAAUAUCUGUAGUCUUGAGCAUGGUUUCUGAGAACAAUGGGUUUGGUACCAGGGUGCCAGAUAUUAACCUCUAUUUAUUCCAAUUAAAUUGAUAGUCUAGUUUUCAGUCUUAUUUUCUGUAAAUGUUCUCACUAGAAGAGCAAUCAAGGGACACAUUUGUAAUACAUCCUUGCCACUGUUUUUCUCUUGGAUCAGUAGGGUUCAUCGACAUAAAAAUAUUUCAGUUCUGUUUCCUGGUCAGACACGCCUUGAAAAUUAUAUACUUUCAACAUAAAGCAUAAUUGUGUAUGCGAAACGAGUGCUCAUUUUCCUUUAUAACAUGCUCCUCACAGCCUGUGGUCUGCUGUCAUCCUUACCCUUUCCCCUACUCCUUUACAACUGUUUCAAGAAAGAAAUAACCUCAGAAGUCUGGAAGUGUAACAUUUAACUGCCUGUGCAGUUUCUAACACAGCCCCUGUCCGUAUUUCAGCUGAGAUGCUGUAGCAUCCACCACUUGAGCACUUAAUGUCCAUAUUUUCACAGACAUCCCGGGCAGAAGAGCAUCCUGGCCUCCCCGUCUGCCCUGUAGCACACAGGGUCCAUCUGACAGAGCAAGUCCUACCGAGCUGGGUAUGGGGGGGUACCACACCACCCUUCAGAAAUUAAAACCAAAAGGAACAUUAGAAAGAAACUGAAGGACCGAGCAUCAAGCAAGCACCUCCUCUUCCAUCAUCUCCUCCUGUUGUCGCUGUAAUCCCCAAUACAAGCUGGCUGGAUAUGCAGAGAGCCUUUCACAAGAUUAUCUGUAUCAGUGCAGGCUUUGAAGUACAGGCUGCUGGCAUCUCAUUACAGACAGAGAUCAAAACCCUGAGAUUAACAUGGUCCUGGGCCUGCUGGACUUCAUUCACACAUCACAGAAGUGCUAAGCUAUCAAAGAGCAGGGCAGUGCUUGUGUGUUACGUUCUCAGCCAUAAAUCUGGCAGCACACACCCACUGCCAUUUAUUUUUUUAAAUAAAUGUGUCCUUUCGGUCUA